rnacentral:rRNA from 1 species
GACGAACGCUGGCGGCGUGCUUAACACAUGCAAGUCGAACGAAGAGCGAUGGAAGCUUGCUUCUAUCAAUCUUAGUGGCGCACGGGUGAGUAACGCGUAAUCAACCUGCCCUUCAGAGGGGGACAACAGUUGGAAACGACUGCUAAUACCGCAUACGAUCUGACCUCGGCAUCGAGGAUAGAUGAAAGGUGGCCUCUACAUGUAAGCUAUCACUAAAGGAGGGGAUUGCGUCUGAUUAGCUAGUUGGAGGGGUAACGGCCCACCAAGGCGAUGAUCAGUAGCCGGUCUGGGAGGAUGAACGGCCACAUUGGGACUGAGACACGGCCCAGACUCCUACGGGAGGCAGCAGUGGGGAAUCUUCCGCAAUGGACGAAAGUCUGACGGAGCAACGCCGCGUGAGUGAUGACGGCCUUCGGGUUGUAAAGCUCUGUUAAUCGGGACGAAAGGCCUUUUUGCGAAUAGUGAGAAGGAUUGACGGUACCGGAAUAGAAAGCCACGGCUAACUACGUG